rnacentral:lncRNA from 1 species
GUUCCUGUGAACAAACGCUAACUUCUCUGAAGACUUUCAUUCCAUGAACUACUGAGAUACUGGGCUCAAUUGGAACCUGAGAGCCAUGCUAACUUGAUGAGAAAAUACUUUUACAUCAAAAGUGGCUUCCUGUUACAUUUGUAAAUUUCAUGUUACUGUUAGAAAAAAAAUAGACUAAAUUGGAAUACAGUAUCCAGAAAGAGAUAUCCAUUUGCAAGAAGUGUUAUAUAGGCUGUUGAUUUUUUCUACAUGGCUUUCCAAUGAACUUUGGAUUACUUACAGCUUUGAUUCUGAUGAUAUAAUGAUGGCCAACAUUGGCAGCCAUGGUUUCUACCAGAUGUCAGUUUUGUCCAAAUAAAGCAAU